AAGAGUAUAUGCAGCAAAAGGCUUUAGCAAAGAGCUAAGAUAAACUACCUGAUUAUGAGGAUGUUGAAAGUCUUGGACAUGAUGAAGAUGAAGAUGAUGUUAGGGUAAUUCUUGGAGGCUCAAAGGGAAGUAGUAAGGUUCAAAAGAAGCCAAGGACAAAGAGUCCAAUAGAUGUCUAUUUUGUCAAAAGUGUUGAAAAGGCGGUGCAAGAUAAAAAAAAAUUUCAAAGUUGAAGCAAACCACUAUUAAUGAGG
rnacentral:misc_RNA from 1 species